rnacentral:lncRNA from 1 species
UUAGGUGACCUCAAAGACCAUGCUCAGGAUUGGUCCUUCUGAUUUCUCACAUUCUGUGUAUAAAUACAAGGACAUGCAAGAAUUACCCCUGUCUUGAGCAGACAUUUGCACCAUGUUUUCUUUCUAUCAAAAAGCUAAGAAAACUUUUCAUGUUCACUUCUCCUCAGAGGAUCUAAGCUGCUUAGAAAUUUAUAUUACUUACCUGCCAGAGAAGAAGCUGUUACUGCCUAUUAUUUCUUACUAGUAAUGGAAACCUGAUUGGGGAGGUCUAAUGAUUUUUAGCUGGUGGACGCCCCUACCAAGGGCCACUAAGCAGAAGCCUUGUGCCGUGGUGCUGUGUUGGUGCCAGCAUAUAUGCUGCUGCAUGGGCUUGGUGCGAGAGGGAAGCAGGCUUCAGAAAGGCUUCCUGAGUGAAGUCCUGGCUGGGAGUAGACACUGCUGUCUCCAAGGACUCACUCCCAAGAUGCCCGGGAUGCACUGGAAAAUAUAUCUAAAAUUAAUAUAA